UACGGAGGGGGCUAGCGUUGUUCGGAAUUACUGGGCGUAAAGCGCACGUAGGCGGCUUUGUAAGUUAGAGGUGAAAGCCCGGGGCUCAACUCCGGAAUUGCCUUUAAGACUGCAUCGCUAGAAUUGUGGAGAGGUAAGUGGAAUUCCGAGUGUAGAGGUGAAAUUCGUAGAUAUUCGGAAGAACAACAGUGGCGAAGGCGACUUACUGGACACAUAUUGACGCUGAGGUGCGAAAGCGUGGGGAGCAAACAGG
rnacentral:rRNA from 1 species